UGGGGGAUAUUGCACAAUGGGCGAAAGCCUGAUGCAGCGACGCCGCGUGGGGGAUGAAGGCUUUCGGGUUGUAAACCUCUUUCGCUAUCGAACAAGGCCCGCUUAGGGUGGGUUGAGGGUAGGUGGAGAAGAAGCGCCGGCUAACUACGUGCCAGCAGCCGCGGUAAUACGUAGUGCGCGAGCGUGGUCCGGAAUUCUUGGGCGUAAAGGGCUUGUAGGCGGCUUGUUGCGCCUGCUGUGAAAACGCGGGGCUUAAAUUCGCGCGUGCAGUGGGUACGGGCAGGCUUGAGUGUGGUAGGGGUGACUGGAAUUCCAGGUGUAGCAGUGGAAUGCGCAGAUAUCUGGAGGAACACCGAUGGCGAAGGCAGGUCACUGGGCCAUUACUGACGCUGAGGAGCGAAAGCAUGGGUAGCGAACAGG
rnacentral:rRNA from 1 species